CCUUUAGCCCAGGGCUGAUGUCAUCUGCAGCAAAUCAUUUCGCCGGCGGCCCGGAAGCUGGAAGGACGAGGGGUCUGCAACGAGCUUGCUGCAGAGACUUGGUCACAACUGACCAAGUUUAAAUAGGACAUCCAGUUUACUCUUAGGAAAGGACAUCAGGAUGAUCCGUGGUGGAGGUGAGGAGGUGAAGAGCAUCCUUCUGGAGAUCAGCCAUCAGAAUGGCUUCAUCUAAUUGUUGGAUAAAAGAUGCAAGAAGCCAGUGAGAUGAAGGUACUUGCUGCCAAGCCUGGGGACGUACGAAGUUCAAUCCCAGAACCCACACAA